rnacentral:snRNA from 1 species
AGAUGUGAGGACGAUCUGGCUGUGACAUCUGUCACCCCAUUGAUCGCCAGGGUUGAUUCAGCUGAUCUGGCAGGCUAGGCAGGUGUACCCUUCCUCCUUCCUCUUGCUAUGUGUGUCCCUCCCGAAGCUGUGCACUUAGUCAAAGAGGACGACCUUCCUGGAUAGAAGAGAGGACCGUUCUUUGGUCAAGGGUAUACGAGUAGCUGUGCUCCCCUGCUAGAACCUUCAAACAAGCUCUCAGGUCCAUUUGUAGGAGAAUGGAGGGUACUCAAGCUUCCAGGACUCCAGACACAUCCAAAUGAGGUGCUGCAUGUGGCAGUCUGUCUUUAAAAUUU